rnacentral:rRNA from 1 species
ACAUGCAAGUCGAGGGGCAGCAUGAAACUAGCUGCUAAGUUUGAUGGCGACCGGCGCACGGGUGAGUAACACGUAUCCAACCUACCGUUUACUACGGGAUAGCCUUCUGAAAAGGAGAUUAAUACCGUAUGGUAUUCUAAAGUUUCAUGACAUUAGAAUUAAAGGUUUACCGGUAAUCGAUGGGGAUGCGUUCCAUUAGAUAGUAGGCGGGGUAACGGCCCACCUAGUCAGCGAUGGAUAGGGGGUUCUGAGAGGAACGGUCCCCCACAUUGGAACUGAGACACGGUCCAAACUCCUACGGGAGGCAGCAGUGAGGAAUAUUGGUCAAUGGGCGAGAGCCUGAACCAGCCAAGUAAGCGUGAAGGAUGACUGCCCUAUGGGUUGUAAACUUCUUUUAUAAAGGAAUAAAGUGGUCCACGUGUGGAUUUUUGUAUGUACUUUAUGAAUAAGGAUCGGCUAACUCCGUGCCAGCAGCCGC